AAAGCUUUAGGGAGCGACGAAAAACUAUUUUUAUUUGGGCACUUGAAUAGUUUGGAGCUAAUAGUGCAACCGUCCUAAUCUGCU
rnacentral:ncRNA from 2 species